CCUACGGGGGGCUGCAGUGGGGAAUAUUGGACAAUGGGCGAAAGCCUGAUCCAGCCAUGCCGCGUGUGUGAAGAAGGCCUUCGGGUUGUAAAGCACUUUCAGUGGGGAAGAAAGCCUUGGGGCUAAUACCCUCGAGGAAGGACAUCACCCACAGAAGAAGCACCGGCUAACUCCGUGCCAGCAGCCGCGGUAAUACGGAGGGUGCGAGCGUUAAUCGGAAUUACUGGGCGUAAAGCGCGCGUAGGCGGUCUGAUAAGCCGGUUGUGAAAGCCCCGGGCUCAACCUGGGAACGGCAUCCGGAACUGUCAGGCUAGAGUGCAGGAGAGGAAGGUAGAAUUCCCGGUGUAGCGGUGAAAUGCGUAGAGAUCGGGAGGAAUACCAGUGGCGAAGGCGGUCUUCUGGACUGACACUGACGCUGAGGUGCGAAAGCGUGGGUAGCAAACAGGAUUAGAUACCCGUGUAGUC
rnacentral:rRNA from 1 species